rnacentral:rRNA from 1 species
CCCCUGGAUCAACCAAAGACUCUGUCAAGUCGGAUGUGAAAUCCCCGGGCUCAACCUGGGAACUGCAUUCGAAACUGGCAGGCUAGAGUCUUGUAGAGGGGGGUAGAAUUCCAGGUGUAGCGGUGAAAUGCGUAGAGAUCUGGAGGAAUACCGGUGGCGAAGGCGGCCCCCUGGACAAAGACUGACGCUCAGGUGCGAAAGCGUGGGGAGCAAACAGGAUUAGAUACCCUGGUAGUCCACGCCGUAAACGAUGUCGAUUUGGAGGUUGUGCCCUUGAGGCGUGGCUUCCGGAGCUAACGCGUUAAAUCGACCGCCUGGGGAGUACGGCCGCAAGGUUAAAACUCAAAUGAAUUGACGGGGGCCCGCACAAGCGGUGGAGCAUGUGGUUUAAUUCGAUGCAACGCGAAGAACCUUACCUGGUCUUGACAUCCACAGAACUUGCCAGAGAUGGCUUGGUGCCUUCGGGAACUGUGAGACAGGUGCUGCAUGGCUGUCGUCAGCUCGUGUUGUGAAAUGUUGGGUUAAGUCCCGCAACGAGCGCAACCCUUAUCCUUUGUUGCCAGCGGUUCGGCCGGGAACUCAAAGGAGACUGCCAGUGAUAAACUGGAGGAAGGUGGGGAUGACGUCAAGUCA